GUACAAUAGCUCCAGGACUGGAAUAAGUCAGAGACAGCUUAGAUCUGGGGCAGCAUGUGAUGACUUUUGUUCAAAAAGGCAGAGGUCUUCUUGCAUUAAAAAAGGCUAAAAAUAUGAACUGAAUGUAACAGUCAAAGUGUCUUCCUGAGUCUGCUGAAAGCCUUAAAUAGUACUUCAGAUAGAUGUGAACCAAUUUCCAUCCCAUCCAAUUCAGUGGAAGAAUUCCUUUAUAAAAACCCUAGCAAAAGAUUUUGUCUGCAAGAGGGUCAGGGAACCCAAUAUCUGAGGAGUCCAAGGGAGGCCGAAGGACUCCCGUUGCCGGCGAGGAAUAAUGUAGAAGAAGUGCCAUGCUGGGCCACAAAAGGUGUGAUUUCAUGCUGUCCAAGAACCCGCUGCAGCCUUCAGAUGUCUUUUGCUGGGCACUCCUGAAUCAAAUAUUCAGGUAAAGGUAUGUGAGAUAUAAGGACUAGUUUUAGCCUGUAUUGCUGUCAGAGAUUUCCUAACAAUCACUAAAAAGUUUUUCUUUUACUUUGGGAUGGUGUGGAAGAGAAUAUUUAUUUUCAAAGAAUUCAAAAAGUGAGAUAGCAAGGAUUUUAAAUAUUGAAUAGAUAUUUACUGAGUAAAAAUAUUGUGUAAAAACAUGACGGUUUUUAAAGCUCUAAGUGUAUCAUUUGUUAAUUAAAAGUCAUCACGUAGUCUUUGUGGCUAAUGUCAGCUCUCAACAUGCUUUCU
rnacentral:lncRNA from 1 species